GGGGUGCAACACGAGGACUUCCCAGGAGGUCACCCAUCCUAGUACUACUCUCG
rnacentral:rRNA from 1 species